UUUGUACUCCCUCCGUCCCAAAAUUCUUGUCUUAAAUUUGUCUAAAUACGGAUGUAUCUAGUUAUUACAUUUUAGUGUUAGAUACAUCCGUAUCUAAACAAAUGUAAGACAAGAAUUUUGGGACGGAGGGAAUACUAC
rfam:Triticum aestivum genome assembly, contig: Triticum_aestivum_CS42_TGACv1_scaffold_577787_7BL